CAGUCGCCGCGGUAAUACGGAGGGUGCAAGCGUUAUCCGGAUUCACUGGGUUUAAAGGGUGCGUAGGCGGAUCUGUAAGUCAGUGGUGAAAUCUCCAGGCUUAACCUGGAAACUGCCGUUGAUACUAUAGGUCUUGAAUUUUGUGGAGGUUAGCGGAAUAUGUCAUGUAGCGGUGAAAUGCAUAGAUAUGACAUAGAACACCAAUUGCGAAGGCAGCUGGCUACACAACUAUUGACGCUGAGGCACGAGAGCGUGGGGAUCAAACAGGAUUAGAUACCCCCGUAGUCCCUGUCUCUUAUAC
rnacentral:rRNA from 1 species